UAAAGUUUCAUAAAAGCAAAACUUAUUUGCAUAAAAUGGCACAAUAUGGUAACUCAGUUAUGAGGUUUUUGCUAGCCAUAGCCAUGGUGAUAAUAGUUAUGCUACUUUUCUCAUCAACUGUUAUGGGACAAGACACUGCAGUGGCUCCAACACCGCCUAUGGAAAACGGCAUGGACAGUACAGGAGAUGGGUUCGCGUUGCCAGUUUCUGAGGCAUUGGUUUGUUUUUCAGUGUUGUUUUCUAUGUUGAUUGUUAUGUCUCAGUGAGAAUGAAUACAUUUUUGAGCUGGAAAUGGUGGAUUAUGUUGCUAAGAAGUUGGUGGUGGUGAGUAUAUACGUUGAGAAGAGUACUAUACACUAUAAUUUUUUCUAUAAUGUUGUUGUGUUGGUAGUGUAUCUGCUUGUAUUGUUGUUGGUAAUAUGAUGUAUCGACUUGGUGAGAGCUCGGAGGAGUGUGUCUGUCGGAGUAUUAGCCUUACACAUGUAUUUUCGUUUGCUUUCCUUAUUAUUCGACACAUUUUUCUAUAUUUCCUUUUUUGUGAAUUUUUAUUGUUGUUAAUGUAGUAUUGUGGUAUGAGGAUCUCUUAUUCCAUAUACUUCCUCGGGCGUAGUCUUGACACCAAGCUAAAAAACAUCGUAAUGUUCUACGGACAACAAUGUUCUAUUCUACACAGCAGCUUUUAACUUGCGAAACUGUUUCUUUUAUCGGAUUAUAAUUGAAAUUUCGGGUAGGUAUUUGGUUUGUUAAUUGUUGUUAUGAGCAAAUUGCACAAAUCAUUACCACAACGCUGCAGAAUUAACACCAGAAACACAAAGGGAACAAUAAAUAAGAAAUGUUGCAACAAUCUCCUGGGCGUUGUUGCUGACGCAGAGAAAAUUACAACAAUCCUUGCAACCAAAAAACACCUUGAUAAUGCCAAUUCAUGCCAUUACUAAAGAUCCAUAGUCUCACAAAAUCCACAACACAAUAACCAACAAUUGAGUUAGGUGCUGGUACCGGAGCCAACUCCUGAGCCGAGUUGCAGCAGCAGCAGCAGAGAAAAUCACAACAACCAUUGCAACCAAAAACAUGUUAAUAAUGCUAAUUCGUUCGAAAAUAGAGACUUCCAAUAUAGAUCUAGCAGAAUCAUAAGACAAAAAGCAAACAAACUCUCUAACACUAGUAAUAAAAUGAAGAUUUAUUUAUUAUAUAUACUGCAAAAAGAAUAAUAAUAAUAAUAAUAGUAAUACAUAUCAAACCAAUAAUCAUAGCCAAACAUCCUAAGUCUCUACCAAAUCAAUCGCAGCAGCAGCAGAGAAAAUCACAACAACCAUUGCAACCAAAAACAUCUUAAUAAUGCUAAUUCGUUCGAAAAUAGAGACUUCCAAUAUAGAUCUAGCAGAAUCAUAAGACAAAAAGGAAACAAACUCUCUAACACUAGUAAUAAAAUGAAGAUUUAUUUAUUAUAUAUACUGCAAAAAGAAUAAUAAUAAUAAUAAUAAUAGUAAUACAUAUCAAACCAAUAAUCAUAGCCAAACAUCCUAAGUCUCUACCAAAUCAAUCACUCCAUCUCCAUCUUCCGCAAAAUGGACUCAGUGCCUCAGGAGAGCAACAGCAGAAACAAGUAGAGAAGUAGCAACCAAAGCACCAGAUUGAGCCAGAGAGAAUCCAGCUCCAGCAUCAGGUGCCGGUGCCGGAGCCAACUCCUGAGCCGAUGUUGCAGCAGCAGACAACACAACAACAAUCACUGCAACCAAAAACGACUUAACAAUGCUGUAUUGUGCCAUUUCUAAUUGGUGGAACAAGAAGAAGAACAAAGAGAUUGAGAAGAUGCGGCGAGAAUUAGGGUUUUGAUUGAUGAAAAUGAAGGGAAAGGGAGUAGUGAAUUUAUUUAUAGGAGGGUGAGGGAACGCGUGAAGGGAGACAGCUGGCACAGAGAACGAGAAGAUGCGGCGAGAAUUAGGGUUUUGAUUGAUGAAAAUGAAGGGGAAGGGAGUAGUGAAUUUAUUUAUAGGAGGGUGAGGGAACGCGUGAAGGGAGACAGCUGGCACAGAGAAAGAGAGAGAGAGUUUUCAUCGAAUCGGCGGGGGCAUGUGAAAGCACGAAAGUUGUUAGUUGCGGGCGCUGGAAAAAUUUGCUGGACACGUUGCACAUAUCUACUCGAAAUGACCUGCUCAAACUUGGACUCUUCUCU
rnacentral:lncRNA from 1 species